rnacentral:rRNA from 1 species
GGCUAAUACUGGCAAGUCGAGCGAAUGGAUUAAGAGCUUGCUCUUAUGAAGUUACGCAGGCGGACGGGUGAGUAACACGUGGGUAACCUGCCCAUAAGACUGGGAUAACUCCGGGAAACCGGGGCUAAUACCGGAUAACAUUUUGAACCGCAUGGUUCGAAAUUGAAAGGCGGCUUCGGCUGUCACUUAUGGAUGGACCCGCGUCGCAUUAGCUAGUUGGUGAGGUAACGGCUCACCAAGGCAACGAUGCGUAGCCAACCUGAGAGGGUGAUCGGCCACACUGGGACUGAGACACGGCCCAGACUCCUACGGGAGGCAGCAGUAGGGAAUCUUCCGCAAUGGACGAAAGUCUGACGGAGCAACGCCGCGUGAGUGAUGAAGGCUUUCGGGUCGUAAAACUCUGUUGUUAGGGAAGAACAAGUGCUACUUGAAUAAGCUGGCACCUUGACGGUACCUAACCAGAAAGCCACGGCUAACUACGUGCCAGCACCGGCCGGUAAUAAA